UACGGAGGAUGCAAGCGUUAUCCGGAUUUAUUAGGUUUAAAGGGUGCGUAGGCGGCCCGGUAAGUCAGCGUUGAAAGUCUGCGGCUCAACCGUAGAACUGGCAUUGAUACUGUCGGGCUUGGAUGUGGCGGAAGUAGGCGGAAUGUGCAGUGUAGCGGUGAAAUGCUUAGAUAUUGUAGAACACCGAUUGCGAAAGCAGCCUACUACACCAUUAUUGACGCUGAGGCACGAAAGCGUGGGGAUCGAACAG
rnacentral:rRNA from 1 species